UACGUAGGGUGCGAGCGUUAAUCGGAAUUACUGGGCGUAAAGGGUGCGCAGGCGGUCCUGCAAGUCAGGCGUGAAAUCCCCGGGCUUAACCUGGGAAUGGCACUUGAAACUACGGGACUGGAGUAUGGCAGAGGGAGGUGGAAUUCCACGUGUAGCAGUGAAAUGCGUAGAGAUGUGGAGGAACACCGAUGGCGAAGGCAGCCUCCUGGGCCAGCACUGACGCUCAUGCACGAAAGCGUGGGGAGCAAACAGG
rnacentral:rRNA from 1 species